GGCUAACGAGUCCCAAAUAGGACGAAACACGUGUCUUAGGC
rnacentral:hammerhead_ribozyme from 1 species